GGCCUGGUGGUGGAGUGGUAACACACCUGCUUUGUAUAAAUCGUAGAGCUGAAUGCUUAGGCAGGAGAUUCCUUGUUCGAGUCAAGGUCAGGCCA